AUGAGGGGGGAUCGAUCGGCCAUGAGGGUCACCCGAGGUAUGCACCUGGAGGCGAAGAUGGGCGAGAACGCGUGGCGCGCCGGCGAGGUGGUCUGGGGCAACGGACACUCGUACGUCCUGCGGUGGUUCGAUGGCGGCCCAGACUCUGAGCGCAUCCGGAGGACGGAUGUCCGGCCGCUCCCGGAUCCCGCCGUCAAGCUGCCGGCGGACCUUGCCACCGGCGACGAGGUUGAGGUGUUUCACAGCAACCUGUGGAAGCGCGCCGUGGUCGUGGGAGCCGCCGGCCACGGUCAGUUUGAUGUCAAGAUCGCCCGCUCGACCGAGGUUCUUACGGCGGACACGAGCGUGCUGCGGCCCCUUAUGGCGUAUCGGGGAGGGGAGAAAGGCUGGGUCUUGAUCCACAAGGAUAACGAAAUCCCCGCCGAGAGCGCCGUGCCAUGGCGCCCCGUGGCCGUUAAGAACAUCAAAAGCAAAGCCAAUGACAAUGGAGGCGGCAAGUUCGCCGCGCAUUCCACCAAUCUGGGUCUGGGCAAGACGAAGAGGAGCAAUUACGCGGUGGACGCCGACAUUGUCAGGGAUGUCAAGAGAUUUCAGGGCAACAACGUCUUCUUGGCCAAGAGAGAACCCGCAGCAAGGUACCACGACAACAACAUAGAGGUGAUGGAUGUACACCCAAGCCAUUACCUCAAGAAACGGGAGCAGGAGACGAGCAAUCAUACUAAACCCAACGAUGAGGAAAUUGAUGUGAUCGGAGGAGGAACGGACAGCGACAACGACGACGAUUCCAACAGUAGCAAGUCUGAUCCAUCGUCGUCGGACGGAGACAGCAGCAGCAGUGGGGGAAGCAACAGCAACAGCAACGCCGGCGCUCGUGCAGUUCCCCCGACCGCCGAGCAUUGCCAAGAAAAUCAAGAAGUCCAGUCGCCGCCGAGCUGCAAGGAAGAGGAGCAAGAUUCUGAGGAGAGGACCGAGUCCCGUGGCAGCGCGAGAAUGCGCCACCGACCGGCGGACGAGGAAGAGGAACAGAAUGAGCAAGAAGUAGAGGAGCAUGAUCACCGCGUCCAUGGCCUGGAGCUGGAGGCCUACGUGAGCGUCAUGAAGGCCUUCUACUUCACGGGACCGCUGACCUGGGCCAAGGAGGAGCUGCUGUCCGACCUCCGCCUGCAGCUCCACGUCUCCAGCGACGAGCACCUGCAGGCGAUAUGGCGUCUCAAGGGGAAGAAGUAA
rnacentral:rRNA from 1 species